rnacentral:snRNA from 17 species
AGCUUUGUGCAGUGGCAGUAUUGUGGCCAAUGAGGUUUAUCUGAGGCAUGAUUGUUGCUAAUUGAACACUAUCAAUAGAAACAUACUUAAUAAGGUCAGAAACAAAUAAUAGGAUUACCUAUUCUAAGAGAUGAACCAAUCCUUUUUCUGGUUGGUCGAUUUGCCUUUUUCUCAUUAAAUGAUUACAGUUCUGUACAUUUCUGGAUGUAAGGCCUCUGA